rnacentral:rRNA from 1 species
UACAGAGGUCUCAAGCGUUGUUCGGAUUCAUUGGGCGUAAAGGGUGCGUAGGUGGCAUGGUAAGUCGGGAUGUGAAAAUCCCGGGGCUCAACCCCGGAACUGCAUUCGAUACUGCUGCGCUAGAGUACUGGAGAGGAGAUUGGAAUUUACGGUGUAGCAGUGAAAUGCGUAGAUAUCGUAAGGAAGACCAGUGGCGAAGGCGGAUCUCUGGACAGUUACUGACACUGAGCACGAAGGCCAGGGGAGCAAACCGGG